ACGAAGUACUUAGAGCAUUGAGUCAAGAUCAAAGGUCCUCGUUACAUUUCCUCCCUGGAAUUACAACUUGGCUGAUGAUUUCUUCUGUAGGUGAGAGUGGUUUCCCAGCGGGUGCUUGGCUUGUACAACCAGAGAACAGGAUUCUUCUCUUCUUUCCGGCCACUAAAUGCCUAUGUGCACUCCACGUUCCAAAGAGGGAAGAAGGGCGAAGUUUCUUGGAUGACAAUGGACGUUCUACUGUGCAGGAUGAGGGCAGAGUGUGGGACAUCACCACCACAAGGGUAAGAGUUGCCUUUCUCCGUCAUUGUCUCUGACACCCA
rnacentral:lncRNA from 1 species